AACGAUAACGCUAUCGGCAUAAAAAAGUUUCGCAAAUUCCGUUAUCUGCAUCCUAUUUUGGAGGCCUAAACGUAUUGUUAUUGAAUUAAAAUAUUUUCAGGAGAGUUUUGAAUACAGCAGUCAUGACAGAUGUGGACGACGCAAUGCAAUGUUUCAUACACUUUUCUUCUGUCAAGAAUGCUGUACAUGCCAAUUAUAUGUCUCAGCAAGAAGGAAAAUGGAUGAUUGAUCUACAAACUGUAAAAGAAGGUCUGUAAAGUGAUGUGAUUGAAGCUUUGAUUGAACUGCAUUGUAUGACAAGGUGUGACACAGCAAGUGCCUUCUUUUUAAAAGGAAAAUUCAAAUCUUUGAAAUUGAUCCAAAACAAUCCAGAAACUACUUAGUGCUUUUAAGGCUUUGGGAGAAUCCUACACAGUUGAAGAAGUUUUUAGGUUACUUGAAAGUUAAAUUGUAAACUUUAUGGACGCAGAGAUAAGAUAUCAGUCGAGGAAGUCCAGUUCAAGAUGUUUAAACGGGCAAAUAAAGCUAAAAGCACAAUGCCUCCAAAUAGCGACUCACUUUACAGCUACAUUCUUCAUGCAAACUUUCAGGGAAGAAUUUAUAAAUGAAGUUUUGUUCAGACGCAAAAGUUGCCAUCACAGGAGAACCAAGAAUGGAAAUCUGAAAAUUGACUGGAUGUCUUUGUCCCUCUUCCCCUUAAAGUAUUAUUGAACUGACUUACUGUACAUGCAAGAAGAGCUUGCGUCAAACUCUGAGUGCAGAUGACCAUCGUCGUGUUUCUUUAGGAAUAUGGUGCACAGACCUGAGCCAGUGUAAAGGAUAUGUAAAUAUGAAUGAUGAAGAAGAUUCUGAGAAAGAGGAUGAAAUGGACACACCUUCCAGUACACAGCAAACUUGAAAUAACAAUGAAACAAAGAUAAUUAAGCCAUUGUCUUGACAUUGUUGUGACCAAAUGGUUUAGGGAUUGAACUGUACAAGAACUUUCAAAGAUAAAUUUUCAAAUCUGACA